rnacentral:lncRNA from 1 species
ACGUACCGCGUCAUAAGCCGUGCGUGCCUCGGCGGCACGCCGGUCGAGAGCAGCCGCCGCGCGCUCUGAAGAGCGCUCAGUUCCCACGGCGAUCGUCGACGCGACCAAUGCCUGUGCGCCACCGGUGCCGACGGCACGCGCCGGCUCUAGACGUACCACACGAUAGGCCGCGGCCAUGCCCAUAUCGGCCACCUUGACGAGCCACCCGCGGUUGGGGAGGACAAACAGACCAGGUCCAUUGCCUUGCGCUGUGUCUCGGGGCUCGUUGUUGCCAUCACUUGUGGCAUUGACGCUGCCAUUGCCGGUCGUCGGCCCGGAAAAAGGCACGGCACCAACGGCCGAGGGCCACGCCAGGAUAAAGGCCGACGCGGCGGCAGUGUCGGCGCCGCGAAAGUAGCGCGCGCCGGGCGUCAGGGCCUUGAGCAAGAGGUUGGCCGGACGCACGUCGAGCACAUUGAGUCCAAACGCCGCCUGCAUGACGGCCAGCGUGUGCAGCACCGACACGCAGACCUCGACGGCGGCCGAUUCGAUGCGUCGCACGCGCCCGGCGAGCCCGCCCGUCGGUCGGCCCUCGACGAGGUCGAGAAACAGCGGCAGUCGCUCGACGGUGGAGACAUAGGCACCGGCGCCCGUGUCGACGCCCAGGCGCUCCUGGAUGAGGCACAACGCACGCUCCGAUGCACGUCCCGGACACACAAAGGCGCGCAUUUGGGCCACGGUGCCGGGCGUGAUGCCGUCAACAAAGAGCCCGCUGACCAGGGCCGACAGGAGGGCCUCGGCCUCGACUUCGAUCGGGCACGCGUAAUCGCCGCGACGCCGGUCCCAGCACGGGAGCGCGGCCAUAAAGGCAUCGGCCUGUGCGGUGACGCCAGGCGCCGCGAUCGCGCUCGUCGGAAUCUUGAUGGCCAGCGGGGCGUCGAGGCCGGCGAACCCAGGCACGUCGGGAGCCGCGGCCGG